AUGCGAAGUGAUCUGGAUAACGGGAUCAAGUGUAGCCUGGUGUGGUUUGCAGAUAGCACCAAACUGAUUGGGGAAGGAGACUCUCUGGAAGGGAGAGCCACCGUGCAGGAAGAUGUGGAUAGGCUGGAAGAGGGACCCUCGGGUAGUGUAAAGAAGUAUGGGUCAGCAGUGGAGGGUCGAGCCACGGUGUCCCGGGACAAUUCGCAGUCCAGUUCGACUCUGUCCCUGCGUGCCCUGCCCCCCCGGGACUCUGCCCGCUACUUCUGUGCUGUGCACACGGGGACAGGAAUGUGUGUUACUGCUGGUCUUGUCUUCGGGAAGGGGACUCAACUGACUGUGGAACCAAACAAUCAAAUUAGUUCUGUCCCGGAAGUCAUUGUGAUGAAAUCAAACAAACAGAAAGAAGAUGGCAGCACUGGGAAAGCAGCUUGUUUGGCAAGGAAUUUCAAUACAAAGGAAAUCGACUUAGAGAUGUCCCCUAAUGACAUUGUAUACGAACAGAGUACACCCAUUUUGACAUCAGAGGGGUACGAUACUCUUAAGGUGGUCAAUGUGAGCAAAGACACAGAGGUGACCUGCAUGGCCAGCUUCAAGGGCAGGAAUAUUACAGCCAAUGCCACGUUGCCAGAAAAGGAGGCUGAAGAACCAGUAAGAAAGAAGGUUUGCAACACCACAGGCACCUCUGUACAAGCUGAUACCAAAGUGGAGAAAGUGAACAUGCUGUCUAUGGCUGUGCUGGGUUUGAGAGUCCUGCUGGCAAAAAGUAUCGCCUUCAAUACGCUCAUGAGUAUCAAGUUGUUUCUUUUCUGAGGUGGUGGGGAAGCAAGACAACAGGAAUCUGAAGAACAGCAAGAGAGAACAUGUACCAGCAACACAAUAGGUUGAACAGCCAAUGUCAAAUCUGCUGACGAUAACCAUCCAGAAUACAACACAGCACCUUCCCUUUAAGACAUUUUAUAAUGCUGAAUCCUGCCUAGCUAGUUUAUGUAGUAAGAGUUGUAACUGCUUUUGCUAUUUCUUUUUCUCUGUGAACUGAGGAGAGUGCAUUUUUCCUCACCCACCUGCAAGUAGAAACUGAUCUCCCCACUCUUCUAACCUUUGCAUAGAAGCAUCCAACAUGCUUCAAUAGUUCUGAAAACUCCAAACCUCACUAUAGCUAUAUGACCCUUUUAAAACACCUUUGACAGGCUGAUGUAUGAGUACUUAGAGAAUUCAGGCACAGCAGAUGCUAUUUAAAGCUUUAAUGUUUUUUAGAUAGCUUUAAUAACAAUAGUUUUCUAGCUUAGAUAAGAAGACCUGUGUUGGAUCUGAAGUGAUUCACUUCACAGAUAAUGUUCAGCCAUAGAAACAUUGUUAUUUGCAUUUCGUUAUUAAACCUGUAUUUCUUCUGCAAAGUGUAUUGC